GUCAUAUGCUUGUCUCAAAGAUUAAGCCAUGCAUGUCUCAGUACAAGCCAAAUUAAGGUGAAACCGCGAAAGGCUCAUUAAAUCAGUUAUGGUUCCUUAGAUCGUACCCACAAUUACUUGGAUAACUGUGGUAAUUCUAGAGCUAAUACACGCAAACAGAGCUCCGACCGGAGACGGAAGGAGUGCUUUUAUUAGAUCAAAACCAAUCGGUGGCGGGUUCGCUCGUUAUCGUACAACUUGGUGACUCUGAAUAACUUUACGCUGAUCGCACGGUCAUCGCACCGGCGACGCAUCUUUCAAAUGUCUGCCUUAUCAACUGUCGAUGGUAGGUUCUGCGCCUACCAUGGUUGUAACGGGUAACGGGGAAUCAGGGUUCGAUUCCGGAGAGGGAGCCUGAGAAACGGCUACCACAUCCAAGGAAGGCAGCAGGCGCGCAAAUUACCCACUCCCGGCACGGGGAGGUAGUGACGAAAAAUAACGAUACGGGACUCAUCCGAGGCCCCGUAAUCGGAAUGAGUACACUCUAAACCCUUUAACGAGGAUCAAUUGGAGGGCAAGUCUGGUGCC
rnacentral:rRNA from 1 species